ACAGAAACAACUGAUAGUGACAAUUCUACCUCUGAGUCUGAGACUCAAGAAGACUCAGAGGAUUCACCAAGAAAACAACCCAGCAAAAAAGCAAAAAAAAGCGAAGAAUCAUCACCAGUAAAGAAGCAAAAAA